UUUACUGCCACACGAUGUAUGCUCAGUGUUGACAGAACCAUUGUUCAGGAGAACAUCCCCUCCUUUGUGUCAUCAUUGUGUCUGAUGUUUGGAAGCUACUACAACUUCAACAUCCAUUAUCCAUCCGGACUGGCAUCCACCCUGGAGUUCCUGCAGAGAUGCUUUUUCUCCAUAAAUCCCGAGAAGGGCACGAAAGUGGAAAAGACCAGCACCUCCCGUCUACACGUGAACCCCAGAGUCCUCACGUUGAUACAAGACCUUUCAGAUCAUGAGUGGCGGGACAUGUGAAUAAAGACUCAAAUGCUUUUCCACCAUCAACACAGAAGGCACCGAAGUGGAGAAGAGCGACAGUUCCUGUCUACAACCCCAGAAUCCUCACCCUGAUUGAAGAAGGUUUCUUCAUGCUUAGUUCAUUAAGCUUUAUUUGUAAAUGUUACAGAUAAAAAUACGUUAUAGACUGGUUAUAGUU